GUGGGGAAUUUUGCGCAAUGGGGGAAACCCUGACGCAGCGACGCCGCGUGGAGGACGAAGGCCUUCGGGUUGUAAACUCCUUUUGCCGGGAAAGAUGGUGACGGUACCCGGCGAAUAAGCCACGGCUAACUCUGUGCCAGCAGCCGCGGUAAGACAGAGGUGGCAAGCGUUGUUCGGAAUUACUGGGCUUAAAGGGCGCGUAGGCGGUGGCGUAAGUCUGGUGUGGAAUCCCGCGGCUUAACCGCGGAACUGCAUUGGAAACUGCGUUACUUGAGUCAGCGAGGGGAGGGCGGAAUUCCUGGUGUAGCAGUGAAAUGCGUAGAUAUCAGGAGGAAGGCCGGUGGCGAAGGCGGCCCUCUGGCGCUUGACUGACGCUGAGGCGCGAAAGCGUGGGGAGCAAACAGGAUUAGAAACCCGUGUAGUCC
rnacentral:rRNA from 1 species